rnacentral:rRNA from 1 species
GACGAACGCUGGCGGCGUGCUUAACACAUGCCAGUCGAACGGAGUGGCGAACGGGUGAGUAACACGUGGGUGAUCUGCCUUGCACUUCGGGAUCAGCUUGGGAAACUGGGUCUACUACCGGCUAGUGCAAGAUGAUCUCGCGGCCUAUCCGCUUGUGGGUGGGGUAAUGGCCUACCAAUGCGUCGACGGGUAGCCGGCCUGCGAGGGUGUACGGCCACAAUGGGACGGAGAUACGGGCCAGACUCCUACUGGAGGAAGCAGGGGGGAAUAUUGCAACAGGGGCGGAAGCCUGAUGCAGGGACGCCGCGUGGGGGAGGAAGGCCUUUGGGUUGUAAACUCCUUUCGACAGGGACGCGGUACCUGUAUAAGAAGCACCGGCUAACUACGUGCCAGCAGCCGCGGUAAUUC